AUACGGAGGGUGCAAGCGUUAUUCGGAAUCACUGGGCGUAAAGGACGCGUAGGCGGCUUGGCAAGUCAGAUGUGAAAUCCUACAGCUUAACUGUAGAACUGCAUUUGAAACUGCUAACCUAGAGUAUGGGAGGGGGAGAUGGAAUUAGUGGUGUAGGGGUAAAAUCCGUAGAUAUCACUAGGAAUACCGAAAGCGAAGGCGAUCUCCUGGAACAUAACUGACGCUAAGGCGUGAAAGCGUGGGGAGCAAACAGGAUUAGAAACCCUAGUAGUCC
rnacentral:rRNA from 1 species